rnacentral:lncRNA from 1 species
AACGAUCCUGUAAAAUCAAUAAGGUAUCGGUCAGUACAGUAAAGCACUUUUCUUGUUUGAGUAACUUAGAGACCGAAAUCAAAGAGCAGUUGAGAUGAGGCACAAAUAGAACAUUCGAAAGAAUGAUAUUGUGUGAAAUUCGAAAGUUGCCAAGAUGUGUGGCAUAAGUUCGAUUUCCAUCUGCGAAUCCAACCGGACAUGGUGGAAUCGGAGUAACAUUAUCCAGAAAUGUGAGCUCUCCAGUCAUAUGAUGCGAGGCUCC